UCGGCUCUCGCAUCGAUGAAGAACGUAGCGAAAUGCGAUACUUGGUGUGAAUUGCAGAAUCCCGUGAACCAUCGAGUCUUUGAACGCAAGUUGCGCCCCAAGCCUUCUGGCCGAGGGCACGUCUGCCUGGGUGUCACAAAUCGUCGUCCCCCAUUCUCUCAU
rnacentral:rRNA from 1 species